rnacentral:rRNA from 1 species
AUUGAACGCUGGCGGCAGGCCUAAAACAUGCAAGUCGAACGAGUGGCGGACGGGUGAGUAAUGUCUGGGAAACUGCCUGAUAGAGGGGGAUAACUACUGGAAACGGUAGCUAAUACCGCAUACCAUCGGAUGUGCCCCGAUGGGAUUAGCUAGUGGGUGGGGUAAAGGCUAACCUAGGCGACGAUCCCUAGCUGGUGUGAGAGGAUGACCAGCCACACUGGAACUGAGACACGGUCCAGACUCCUACGGGAGGCAGCAGUGGGGAAUAUUGCACAAGGGGCGCAAGCCUGAUGCAGCCAUGCCGCGUGGAUGAAGAAGGCCUUCGGGUUGUAAAGUACUUUCAGCGGGGAGGCGUUACCCGCAGAAGAAGCACCGGCUAACUCCGUGCCAGCAGCCGCGGUAAUAC